rnacentral:rRNA from 1 species
UACGUAGGGUCCGAGCGUUGUCCGGAAUUAUUGGGCGUAAAGGGCUCGUAGGCGGUCUGUUGCGUCGGGAGUGAAAACUUACAGCUUAACUGUGAGCGUGCUUUCGAUACGGGCAGACUUGAGGCAUUCAGGGGAGAACGGAAUUCCUGGUGUAGCGGUGAAAUGCGCAGAUAUCAGGAGGAACACCGGUGGCGAGGGCGGUUCUCUGGGAAUGUCCUGACGCUGAGGAGCGAAAGCGUGGGGAGCGAACAGG